AUGUAAAUAAACAAAGCAGAAAUAUAAAUAAGCUCACGAAAAAGUAAAUAAACAAAGCGGAGAUGUAAAUAAACACGCUAAGAUGUAAAUAAACACGCUAAGAUGUAAAUAAACAAAGCGGAGAUGUAAAUAAACACGUUAAGAUGUAAAUAAACAAAGCGGAGAUGUAAAUAAACACGUUAAGAUGUAAAUAAACAAAGCGGAGAUGUAAAUAAACACGCUAAGAUGUAAAUAAACAAAGCGGAGAUGUAAAUAAACACGCUAAGAUGUAAAUAAACAAAGCGGAGAUGUAAAUAAACACACGAAUAUGUAAAUAAACAAAGCGGAGAUGUAAAUAAACACGUUAAGAUGUAAAUAAACAAAGCGGAGAUGUAAAUAAACACGUUAAGAUGUAAAUAAACAAAGCGGAGAUGUAAAUAAACACGUUAAGAUGUAAAUAAACAAAGCGGAGAUGUAAAUAAACACGUUAAGAUGUAAAUAAACAAAGCGGAGAUGUAAAUAAACACGUUAAGAUGUAAAUAAACAAAGCGGAGAUGUAAAUAAACACGUUAAGAUGUAAAUAAACAAAGCGGAGAUGUAAAUAAACACGUUAAGAUGUAAAUAAACAAAGCGGAGAUGUAAAUAAACACGUUAAGAUGUAAAUAAACAAAGCAAA